UUUCGUUCAAUGUAUCACAAGGAUUAGAUCGUAUUAAACGCAAACAGGGAAACAAGAUUUGUUCACUGUCAAAGCAAAAACAAUUUCUUUCAAAUGUAACAAUUAUUGAAUCAUCAUGGAACCAAGCUUCGUCGUCUGACAUUCAUCAUAUACCAUUAGUAGAUCCAAAAAUGUACUCUUCCCAGAAUCUAGGGCAUAGUAACGAGCAUCCACCUCCAGUCGUAACUGUUCAUGGAACACAAGUGCAAAUUCCCAAACGAAAAAAAGAAAAAAUGAAGUGGUCAGUACAAGCCAGCGGAACAUCGUCGCAAGAUGAGUCUAAUUUAAUGGAUAUAGAGACCGUUAAGUGCGAUAAUCUUCGAGCAUUAAAAUCUCCUGUCUCUGGACCACGACUAAAAGUUGACGCUGAUACGGAUCCAUCCCCAAUAGCAUGUAACGAAAAUUUGUCAACUAUCGCAGGGUCAGGUGACCGAAAUCGGUACAAACCAGGCAUAAUUAAAUGCACUUUGUCAAAAUCACAAAGAAAACCAGAAUCAAUAAUCGACGAAGAUCUGCUACGUGAUGGUGAACAGUCUGAAUUGUCUGAGAAUGAUGAAUAUGAUAUGGUAACCAAACUUACUUUGAGAGUAAAAAAAUUGAAAGCGUUGUCGCUCAGAUUGAAAAAACAAUGUUCAGAAUCAAAUCGCAGAUGUCUACGACUAACUGACUUUCUCAACAUUUCGGGUAAUACAAGACAAAGAUUUACAUAUAUUGAAGGAAUGCUGACGGAAGAUCAACUUGAAGCUUUUUCAAGAAAUUCAAAAUCGGACUACGUAUUUGUCAAAUUAUUAAUGUUUGAAAUAUGACAAGAAGGUUUCAAAGGCAGAACAAUAUAUGGGCGAAUGUCAAACAAUCCACGUGGAAGGAAACCUAUCUUGGGUAACAGUAAAUCUCAUUCGAUUACAUCCUAUUCAACGUCGGUUCCUCUAGAACCAGAUAAAGUGCAAUACAUCUAUGAUCGCUUGUAUGAACACCGUAUGAUGAAAGGCGAUUCUCCACUAGAAGCCAAUGAAGCGGCAAGAAAUUUCAAGGAUUUAAUAAGGCGUGUUUUGGCGUAUUACAAGCAUAAGAACACACAUUCGCUUGAGCCUUAGGUUGAUAUUCAUAUACAAGUAGCAUGUUCUGACCACUAAAGAUGAAUAGAGGUAGAAGCAGUGUAAAAGAAAUUAUAACGACUGAAGCACCGAAGGAUAUAAAAUGGGAACAAAGAAGAACUUAACAAAUAAAAUAAUUAUCCAAAUAGUUAGAGUAAAAACACUGAUGAAAUAAAGAGAAUACAUAUCCCAAAAUAAUAAA